rnacentral:lncRNA from 1 species
AAAAAAAAUUAUCGACAAUGAUAUGGUCAUGUGUAUGGAGAAGGUGGAAAAAAUGGAGCUAGGGAGAAUCUUAUCCAAAAGACGAAACGACUUGUUUUGCUAUUCAGUAGAAAUGUUGAUAUUAGAAAAGUUUGAUUACGCAUUGAGCCGACGUGUUGCGAGUCGUAGGUAAGAAAUGCGGGAAAGAGGUUUGGAUCAUUCGGAUUGCUUUUGGAUCUUUUUUUACAUGAAUUUAUGUAACAGCCCGGAAUUCCAGGUAUUGUUAUAUUUAUGAUUUUGGGUGUUUUAAGAGGGGACUCGGCGAGUUGGAGCUCAGACUCGCCGAGUAGGAUCGCAGAUCUGAUCACGGGUUCGCGACUAGACUCGACGAGUCCGGGUAUGGACUCGGCGAGUCUGCGCUGUUUAGCGAAAACCUUAACCGUUCAGGGUUGGGACAUAUAUAAAGGGCCUUAUGGCCGUCAUUGUUCACCCUAGUCCUUUGAGAGAAACCCUAAUUCGAUUGAGAGCAUCUGGAGCAAGGUAGAAGGCCAUUAUUGAUCUUGGAAGUGUUAUUUUGCAAAAAGGAGGAGGCUUGGUUAAGGGAACAACAGGAGAAGCCAUAUUCUGAGAGUUGGGGACACAGAGCAACGUUAUUCAGGUAAUAUUUCGAGUUGAUCCCUUCUAUGUUGAUGUGUAUAUGGAUUUAGGGUUUAUUGAACCCUUUUGUGGCUAGAUUGAGUGUCUCCUUAGUCCCCCAAGCGAUUGGAACCUUUUAUUGGGACCUUUGGAAGUCCAGAAUGUCCCAUGCCUGAGCUUUUCGGGAAUCAAUGGAGGUUUUGGAUUGGAAUCCUUAUGCCUUAGGUCAAAAUGUAAAUUAUGAGUCAUGGAGUGUAUUAUGAGCACCGAAAUGAGGACUUUACGUGAUGAACCAGUCUAGGAAGGCCAGACCUAUGAAUUGUCGGAGCAGAUCUGACCUUAGAAAGCAGUUUGAGCGGUUGCAUGGCAUGGACUCGCCGAGUCCGAUGAACAGACUCGGCGAGUAGCUUGAAGAUUAACUGGGACUCGUCGAGUUGUUCUUCAGACUCGGCGAGUUGAGUCGGGGUGGCCCCGCGAUUCUUCCAGGAGGAACUCGUCGAGUAAAAAGGGGAUACUCGACGUGUAGAAAGGGUGUCUUAAGGAAUCGGUGAGUUAAGGGCGAGUGGACUCAGAGUCGUUGAACUCGGCGAGUCUUGGGGUGACUCGGCGAGUUAGAUCGCGGGUUGAGUGAAGUUCUGAGUAUGGGGACUCGGCGAGUCAUAGGGUUGACUCGGCGAGUAGGGUCAGUCAGGGGUUGACUUUGACCUUGUCUUUGACCAAGGAUUGACCAGUGUUUCCAGGGGUAUUUUGGUAAUUGUUGUUUAUUGUUUGAGUUCAGUGCAUUGGUGGCUGUCCAGAGGUGGAGAUCGUAUCAGUGAUCGGAGCAGCUUGAGCUAUCUGUUCAGUCGGCAGUUUCGAGGUGAGUUAUCCUCACUAUAUCGCUAGGGUUUAUGGCACCAAGGCCAACCUUUUUAUCGGAUAGAAGUCCGGGUAGUUGUCAGUUGUUAUGAUAUGGGCCGGAAGGCGUUAUAUGUUGCAGGCCGGAAGGCAUUAUGUGGACCGGAAGGUCAUGGCCUGGAAAGGCAUAUGUGUGCAUUUAGUAUGUUGACUGAUUCGUAGGGUGAUGUUAUGCUAGUGACCGGCUAGGCCGGUAUCUUGAAUAGAGGAAUGCUAUGUUAUGUGGUCUUUUGAUCGAUUGCUGACUGUGAACUGUUAUAUGAUUAUGUGUUAUGCGUAUGAUUGCUAGACCUGGGGUGUGACCCGGUAUGCAGGGUCGUUCUAUGUCCUGUUAGGUUAUGUAUGCUUUUAUGCUNUAUGUGUUAUGUGCAUGAUUGCUAGGCCUGGGGUGUGACCCGGUAUGCAGGGUCGUUCUAUGUUUUGUUAUGAUAUGUAUGCUUUUUAUGCUGUGGGCCGAAAGGCAAUAUGUUAUGGGCCGGAAGGCACUAUGUUAUGGACCGGAAGGUCGUGGCCUGGAAGGGCGUAUAUGUGGUUGGUAUUUUAGGGGUAUCUCACUAAGCUUUCGGGCUUACAGUUGUGGUUUUAUGUUUUCAGGUUCUCAGGAGUCUGUGGCAAGGCAAAGGCGUGAUCGUACCGUUCCUCGCGUUGAUGUUUUAUGAUAUGAACCUGGGAAAAUACUCUGUUUAAUAAUGUAUUGAAAACCUUUUUGUAACAACGUUAUUAAAAUGAGUGGUUUUUGAAAAGUUUUAAAUUGUUUUGAAAUUUUGAUCGUUACAAUUUAGGUUUACUUUUAGAUGACUUUUGUAUGACUUUCAAGAUCUUUUUGGAUGACGUUUUGUUUACUUUUAAGUUAAAUUUGGUUGAAUUUUAGAUGACAUUUGUUCUGACUUCUAGGAUUUUUUGUAGAUGACUUAAAUGUUAUGUU